GGGCAAGCCCAAACCCACGGCGGGGGGAAGUGCCGACGGAAAGACGGGAACCCCGGGAACCCGGAGGGUUCCCAAAGUACUGGGGACUCGUGGGUGGGCCAGCCUUCAUUCAGCCGCUGGCAACAGGCUUAGGGGGAGAUCUGCACCGCGAACUGUUCCCGAGAGAACAAGUCUUCAAGUUUAAUAUCCGGUGACUCUUACAGCCAGACACUUCAUAAAUCCUUUUUUCAAAAACCCCAGGUAAGUACACUGGUACCCCAAUGUAGGUUUGUUGGGAACCACCCAGAGAAAUCCAUUUUCCCUGUAAUGAAGUUAAUACUUUCAUUCUCUACAGGCAUCUCAAAAAUGACUUUAGCUAUCUCAUGUGGCUUUGGGGACUCUGGGGGAAAAAAGAAACAUGUAACUAAAGGGAAGCAAUUGUCCAAACAGUGAGAAUAUAUACAAAUUACUCGGCACUAUCUUUCUCUUGUUCCAAAGACAUCAUAUUGAGACAUACAUGCCUAAAAAUUGUUGUGAAAGAGCCAAAGCUUCUGUCUGCCCUAGAAGUUCAGUCAGUGCACUAGUACUGGGACACAGUGCCCCCAAAAGUUUUUAUUGAAGAGCUAACGUUUGUGUCUGGUUAUAACUUCCCAACUGAAACAAGCUACACACGUGAAUGAGUAAGUGAAGACAUAUAUGGCUCCUGAAAAGUAAUCCACAGAUUAUUUUCAACCAGGUGGUUCGCUUCCACCAUGAAAGAGUGCUAAGCUAAAGCCACGCUUAGUUCAAGUAUUCCUUUGAUCGGCCACUAAGUGCCCAGAUUUCAACAUAAUCCUCUCGUUUUUAAAAUCAGCACGUGGUUCUUCAUUUUGAGUGUUGGUACCCUACAUGUCUCCUUUUCCAGAAUUUACUCUUCCACCAUUUGAUACAUGAAGAGGCAAGAUAAUCUCACCUCUCAUAGCUCCUGAAACAUCUAUCUUCAAAAAGAUACAACGGCUGAAGAACCUUUCAGGUAAUAAUUACCAAGUUGCAGAUUCAGAACCUGACUACUGAAUUCCCAUGCUAAAGAAAAAAUGAAGACACUGUAAUAUUUACAGUACACAAACUUAGAAAUGUUAUAAUACAUGCCUGAAACCUGGUCCUUCACAAUUCAUAAUGAUACAGAGGUUUAUUCUUAUAUUUUCUUUAGCAUCUUCAGUGUAUCUCAACUGGGAAAGCAGCCUGUCGAACACGUACUGAUUCUGUGCUAACAGAUAAAGCAUCAAACUUCAAGUCUCACCGUAAAAACAAGGCCAUACUACUCAGUUUGGAGUGUCUCAAUUUCUUUUUGUAUUGUAGAAAUUCAAGUCCACCACAUAUUUCACCUGAAAUAUCCACUGGAGAAUAAUUCAACUGGAGGAAUCCACUGCUUAGAAUUACGUAUAAGAAGUGAAAGAAUGGAUCAUUAAGGCCAUCAGAGACUAGUCAUCACAUUAAUGUUAUUAAAAAGAUUGUUCAUAUUAAAAGUACCAAUAAUGAGAAAAUAUGGAAAUGUUCCUGUGACAAUUAAAAUCCUUCAUCCUCUGGUUUUCUUUAAGACGUUUUCUUUUAGUUCCAAGUAUCUCUACAGUUUUAGGCCUUGAGAUCACUAGCUUUUGACAGUCAUGCCAGUCUUGUUUUUAUUUAGUAGAUCAAAAGUUCUCUGGAGCAUAACAAGUGAGCUCUUUAACUGCAAACAAAAUUAAUUUUCAAAAUAAGAUUAAGUGUCACCUGCUUAUUUUUAUGCCAAAAGUUUACAUUUAUAUAUUCGAUAUAGUUUUGUUUCUACUGAUGCCCAGAUAAAAGACUGAAUUUAUACAAUAGCCAGCUACUUCGGGUGUGUGUCAGUACGCCUGCUCAGGAGCUCUUCCUGUCCACUGUACCCCGCUCUUCUCCCCGCACUGUCCUGUUGCACAUUCUGCAUCCCAGUAGGUUGUUUCCUUAAAUGGUUUCUCAAGUGGCAGUGGUCUUGCCACUGUCCCCUGAACGACUCAAGUGCCACCUCCAGGCCUUUGCUUGCUAUUUCCUUCACGCUUGUAUUCACCCAUCUAAAACUUACCCAUCACCACCGUCUCCGUGUCACCUUCCCUAGUCAUCCUGCCUUUAAACUCCCAAAGCAUUACUAUGUACUUAACACUUAACUGUGUACUUUUUUUUUUUAAUUUUGAGAGACCGCACUGAGGGAGAGAGGGUGGAGGGAGAAUCUCAAGCAGGCUCUGUUCCGAUGGGGGGGGAGGGGGGGAGAGUGCGAUUCCAUGACCCUGCAAUCACAACUUGAGCCAAAACCAAGAGUCGAUUGCUUAACUGACUGAGCCACCCAGGCGCCCCAAUUUUGUAUUUUUUUUUAUAGUCUUUAACAAUAUAUCUGAUUUUUCUAAUAAAGUUAUAGGCAACUUGAGAGCAAGAAUUA